rnacentral:rRNA from 1 species
GCUUAAAAAGGAUGUUUCAUGGGGAAGAAGAAAGUAGGGGGAUAGAAGACGAUCAGAUACCGUSGUAGUCUCUACCGUAAACUAUGCCKUCCAUGGAUCAAGAGAGUUUGCAUGGAUGACUCCCCGGGCACCCUCUUUUUCAUAAGUGUUUGGGUUUUGGGGGGAGUAUGUCGCAAGGCUGAAACUWAAGAAUGACGAAGGCCGCAGCUUGUUGCUAUA